rnacentral:rRNA from 1 species
AGCGGACGCUGGCGGCAGGCCUAACACAUGCAAGUCGAACGAACUCUUCGGAGUUAGUGGCGGACGGGUGAGUAACACGUGGGAACGUGCCUUUAGGUUCGGAAUAACUCAGGGAAACUUGUGCUAAUACCGAAUGUGCCCUUCGGGGGAAAGAUUUAUCGCCUUUAGAGCGGCCCGCGUCCGAUUAGCUAGUUGGUGAGGUAAAGGCUCACCAAGGCGACGAUCAGUAGCUGGUCUGAGAGGAUGAUCAGCCACAUUGGGACCGAGACACGGCCCAAACUCCUACGGGAGGCAGCAGUGGGGAAUCUUGCGCAAUGGGCGAAAGCCUGACGCAGCCAUGCCGCGUGAAUGAUGAAGGUCUUAGGAUUGUAAAAUUCUUUCACCGGGGACGAUAAUGACGGUACCCGGAGAAGAAGCCCCGGCUAACUUCGUGCCAGCCGCCGCCGUAA